ACCCAACCCUAGGUAUGAUAUAUGGAUAUAAAAAUUUAAUUGAUUGACCGCCUUCUUUAUAUAUCAUACAGUACAAUACAAACAAUAAUAUUGUAAUAAGAGCCAAUGUCUAUUAUAAACCAGGAACAUAAGAAAUAUAGGUCAAAUCAGGAGCAUCUCUUUGGAAUUUGGAAGAGCAGAUGGAGAUGCCAUGGCAACUCUUCCCACAACCAGUCUUUGUCUUUGUGAGUGCACAAAAGACUGGACAGUCAGACUGGAACAAUGCUGCUUCAUCUUCUCGGUUCUCCAGUGGAUUCAUUGUCCAGCUCUGAUCUCGGCCGUCUUCAUGUUCUCCUGAUGCCUGCCCUAUCCUACCAUUUGGAUUGUUCUCAUUCAUCACCAUCCCUGUUGUAUCUUGUCUUGUCAAUAAACUUGGGCAUGCUGCAUCAUUACAUUAUAUCAGGCUGGAAAUCAAAACCUUCGUCUAUAAUUCAUCAACCUCAUAUACGGCUUAUCAUUUUAAAGUUAAACAUGUAAGUAGUAGCAACUUAACAGGU